rnacentral:rRNA from 1 species
GAAGGGCCCGAGCGUUGAUCGGAUUCAUUGGGCUUAAAGGGUGCGCAGGCGGGAUCGUCAGUGUCUUGUGAAAUCCCACGGCUCAACCGUGGAACUGCAGGGCAUACUGCGAUCCUUGAGGUCGGUAGGGGCUGUCGGAACUCUAGGUGUAGCGGUGAAAUGCGUAGAUAUCUAGAGGAACGCCGAUGGUGAAGACAGGCAGCUGGGCCGAUCCUGACGCUCAUGCACGAAAGCGUGGGUAGCGAAGAGGAUUAGAUACCCUCGUAGUCCCACGCCCGUAAACCGAUGUGCACUAGGUCCCUGGGAGCUCUGACGCUUUCGGGGCCGAAGUAAAAACAAUAAGUGCACCGCCUGGGAGUACGGUCGCAAGGCUA